AGUUAAUGAACUUGAUAUAAGUAUAUAUUUUGAAAAUAUAAGAAAGGUAUAACUUCCUAUUAACAU
rnacentral:tRNA from 1 species